UCAACACGCAAACUCAGAAGGAAGCGGGCAAAGAUGGCGGACGACAAGGUGAGAGAUGCUCUGAAUAAGCUGAAGGACCUGGCUCAUCUUAAAAACCAGCUGGAGGACAUUCAGAAAAGAGUGGAGGAGGAGGUGCAGGCAGGGAUACCACAGGGUGGAUCUUUGUUGGCCUCUCCCUUUCUUAAGGGAUUUCUGGCUGGAUAUGUAGUAGCAAAGCUACGCUCCUCUGCUGUGAUGGGUGUGUUAAUAGGAACAUGCACAGGCAUCUACGCUGCACAGAACUUUGAUGUCCCUAAUAUAGAAAAGACCAUCAAGGACUAUUUCAACUCCAUUAAAAAAGGACCAAACUAGAAGAAACCUCAAUCCUGCCAACUGGAGGCGAAGAAAAGGAAUUGGUACCUGGAAGCAAUAUUAAACCAGAACGCUUUUCUUUGCAUUUAUUACUCUGAUAGACUUUAAUGUUAUAUUUAUUCUGCGGUGGUGUGGUUAGUUUUGGGACAAAGUUUAAAGAUAUUUACAGGUUGUAAAUAAGAGUUUGCAACACAUGGUCCAAGACUUUGCAUUUUAAAAUUGAUUUUCGUAAAAGUUCUGUUGCAAGGAGUUACUAAUUCCUUGUUGCGCCAACGAGAAUCUACUUUUGCAACUGCACAGUCUUUUAGAAUUUUUACUUUACUUGCCUUAAAUCUUUAAGAUGUAAACAAUAUUUGUUUACUUGCCUUAAACCUUUAUCAGAUGUAAACAAAUUAAAAAAACUAAAUGCAGCUUGUUUUUUUUUUUUUUUGUCAGGAAUAAGAUACGAAAUGAUUGAAACUACAGUUAAAUUCAAAAAUAAAAUACCAUUGCAAGAUGAGACCUACUCAAAAUUAGAGAAGCUACUGUUACAGGACAGCCUUUGGAGAAGGAUCCUUUCAGAACUGGAAAGAACAGAUUUAUUUCUUUGCAAUAUUUUUUAUUUUAUAUUUUUUACUGAAGUGAACAAAGCAAUCCCCCUCUGUUAAUGAUGUGCUGUAUAAUUCCAGCUGCUGCUUGGUACAUGUUGACUUGAUAUGCAGGAAUGUAGCUUUAGUGUUGCAUUUGAAAAAUGUUCUUAUUCUGAGUUACAGUAAAAUAAAUAUAUUUAAAAAAACACAUUCGUGUAUAACCAGUGUUUUAGCAUUACAAUAAAGUUAAUGAGAGGUAACACAUUUUAAAGGGUUGUUAUCGCUGCUGUAAGAUUGUCAUUCCAACAGCACUUUGGGGAUGAUGAAGAUCUGAUUUGCUAUUGUUAUGUCCUUGCUGUUACACCAAGCUGUGAUUCUUGAGAAAACAGAAGUGCUAGGAGAUGAGCCAGUGUUUAACUGGCAUACUUGGUUUGUCAUGGAAGCCAUUGAAUUGGAAUGUGUUAUAGUACACCCCUGGGAGUAAUCGUUUUUUUUUUCUUUAAAAAGUGUUGCUGAUCAAACAGGCACACUCCUGUGUGAUUUUAAUUCGCAAUGCUGCGGUCCUUCUCCAUCUUAGGUUAUGGCAGUAUCUCACAGACGAUGCUGAGAGCCUCUGGCAACCUUCUUCACAGACAGCGCAUCUCUCAGCUCUGCAAAUGCUAAAGUGCAAGUGCAGAAAACAUGUUUAUUACUUGGUGCUUCUCUGGUGGCGCCUAUUGAAAUGUACAUAAUGUUACGGCCAAAAACCCUAUAGAAGUAACUGAGACCUGCUGAAUAAUGUUACAUUAACAUAUAGA